GACCGCGCAGCUCAGUUGGCAGAGCAUUGAGCUAGCAUUCCAAGGCAAAGGUUGUAGGUUCGAUUCCCACCGUGGCCA